rnacentral:rRNA from 1 species
CCUACGGGUGGCAGCAGUGAGGAAUAUUGGUCAAUGGACGCAAGUCUGAACCAGCCAUGCCGCGUGCAGGAAGACGGCUCUAUGAGUUGAAAACUGCAUUUGUACGAGGGUAAAUCCCGAUACGUGUAUCGGGUUGAAAGGCUCGUACGAAUAAGGAUCGGCUAACUCUGUGCCAGUAGCCGCGGUAAUACGGAGGAUCCAAGCGUUAGCCGGAUUUAUUGGGUGUAAAGGGUGCGUAGGCGGUUUGAUAAGUUAGAGGUGAAAUCCCGGGGCUCAACUCCGGCACUGCCUCUGAUACUGUCGGGCUAGAGUUUAGUUGAGGUAGGCGGAAUGUAUGGUGUAGCGGUGAAAUGCAUAGAUAUCAUACAGAACACCUAUUGCGAAGGCAGCUUACCAAACUACGACUGACGUUGAGGCACGAAAGCGUGGGGAGCAAACAGGAUUAGAUACCCUUGUAGUC